rnacentral:rRNA from 1 species
UACGUAGGGUGCAAGCGUUAAUCGGAAUUACUGGGCGUAAAGCGUGCGCAGGCGGUUAUGUAAGACAGGGGUGAAAUGCCCGGGCUUAACCUGGGAACUGCAUUUGUGACUGCAUGGCUAGAGUUUGGCAGAGGGGGGUAGAAUUCCACGUGUAGCAGUGAAAUGCGUAGAUAUGUGGAGGAACACCGAUGGCGAAGGCAGCCCCCUGGGUCAAGACUGACGCUCAUGCACGAAAGCGUGGGGAGCAAACAGG